rnacentral:rRNA from 1 species
CCUACGGGAGGCAGCAGUGGGGAAUAUUGCGCAAUGGGCGCAAGCCUGACCCAGCACCGCCGCGUGAAGGAAGAAGGCUUUCUGGUUGUAAACUUCUUUUAUCAGGGACGAAGCAAGUGACGGUACCUGAUGAAUAAGCCACGGCUAACUACGGGCCAGCCGCCGCGGUAAUACGUAGGUGGCAAGCGUUAUCCGGAUUUACUGGGUGUAAAUGGCGUGUAGGCGGGAGUGCAAGUCAGAUGUGAAAACUCUGGGCUCAACCCAUAGCAUGCAUUUGAAACUGUACUUCUUGAGUGCUGGAGAGGCAAUGGGAAUGCCGUGUGUAGCGGGGAAAUGCGUAGAUAUACGGAGGAACAGCAGUGGCGAAGGCGGAUUGCUGGACAGUAACUGACGCUGAGGCGCGAAAGCGUGGGGAGCAAACAGGAUUAGAUACCCCAGUAGUC